CCCUGGGUAGCUCAGUUGGUAGAGCGCUCCACCUGUAAUGGAGAGGUCCCGGGUUCGAUACCCGGACCAGGCA
rnacentral:tRNA from 1 species